rnacentral:lncRNA from 1 species
GUUUAGGGUUUAAAACCCUAAUGCUGGCUGAAUGAAAGAGUUCAGUUUAGGGUUUAAAACCCUAAUGCUGACUAAAGGGAAAAUUCAGUUUAGGGUUUAAAACCCUAAUGCUGACUGAAAGGAAAAAGUUCAGUUUAGGGUUUAAAACCCUAAUGCUGACUAAAGGAAAAGUUCAGUUUAGGGUUUAAAACCCGAAUGCUGACUAGAGGAAAAGUUCAAUUUAGGGUUUAAAACCCUAAUACUGACUAAAUGGAAAAGAGUUCAGUUUAGGAUUUAAAACCCUAAUGCUGACUGAAGAAAAAGUUCAGUUU